GGACUAGCUCGAACCAGACUCAAAGCUCAGACAACCAGAAAUGAAGGUCGCAACUUCAGCAAUGCUACUCCUUAUGCUCGUGGAAGUUGCUGUGGGCGUGCAGGCCUGGGGCCUUAUGUCUUCGCGAAGGCCAACGCCACAGAAAAGCCAAGCACAAUUUCAGAAAUGGUGUAGACUUAACUUUGGUCCGGCCUGGGGUGGCAGGGGAUGCUAGACAAAAAGAAGUCAUCUAGGAUGCAGCUUAGUCGUACUUAACCAUCGCAAUUCUCGACUGAGUAAAUAAGAAAAUAUAUUUUCUUGUCAGAUUUGGACAGACUGCACCGAUUCUUAAUUUUUUAAAACUUAUCCUGUCUCAAUUGUCUGUUGUAUCUCUCUGUAGAUAGUGUCUUAUUUUCACAAAUACCAAUCUUUCUAUACUUUAUCUAUUGCACUCUCAGCAACAAUGGACAAAAAUUCGUAUCUUUAUUUCAAUUUGUGUAUUUUGUCCUUUAUUUUUGUUUAUCUCUGAAAUACUUUGAACUCUUUUAAUUGCCUAAUCACUUCCCCAGCUAGCUAUAUUAUGAUAUAAUCUCAAUAUAAAUUAAACCAUACCCGAGGCAUAUCGAAUGGGUACAGUUCCAUACAUGGUAGUUCUUCUUCUUGGGAGUUAUGUACUACAUCACAUGCUGGUUUACCGAUGC